rnacentral:rRNA from 1 species
UACGAAGGGGGCGAGCGUUGUUCGGAUUUACUGGGCGUAAAGGGCGCGUAGGCGGCCCUCCUAGUCGCGUGUGAAAGCCCCGGGCUCAACCUGGGAAUUGGCGCGCGAAACGGGGGGGCUUGAGUUCGGGAGAGGAGCGUGGAAUUCCCAGUGUAGAGGUGAAAUUCGUAGAUAUUGGGAAGAACACCGGUGGCGAAGGCGGCGCUCGUCG